GUGGGGAAUAUUGGACAAUGGGCGCAAGCCUGAUCCAGCAAUGCCGCGUGUGUGAAGAAGGCCUUCGGGUUGUAAAGCACUUUUAUCGGGAACGAAAUACCACGGGUUAAUAACCUAUGGGGCUGACGGUACCCGAGGAAUAAGCACCGGCUAACUUCGUGCCAGCAGCCGCGGUAAUACGAAGGGUGCAAGCGUUAAUCGGAAUUACUGGGCGUAAAGGGUGCGUAGGCGGUUGUUUAAGUCUGUUGUGAAAUCCCCGGGCUCAACCUGGGAAUGGCAAUGGAUACUGGACGGCUAGAGUGUGUCAGAGGAUGGUGGAAUUUCCGGUGUAGCGGUGAAAUGCGUAGAGAUCGGAAGGAACAUCAGUGGCGAAGGCGGCCAUCUGGGACAACACUGACGCUGAAGCACGAAAGCGUGGGGAGCAAACAGGAUUAGAAACCCUUGUAGUCC
rnacentral:rRNA from 1 species